GUACUCCUGACGAGUCCCAAACUAGGAUGAAACAGCUGUCCAGUAC
rnacentral:hammerhead_ribozyme from 1 species